rnacentral:rRNA from 1 species
CCUACGGGAGGCAGCAGUGGGGAAUAUUGGACAAUGGGGGCAACCCUGAUCCAGCCAUGCCGCGUGUGUGAAGAAGGCCCUCGGGUUGUAAAGCACUUUCAGUGAGGAAGAACGCCUGGUGGUUAAUACCCAUCAGGAAAGACAUCACUCACAGAAGAAGCACCGGCUAACUCCGUGCCAGCAGCCGCGGUAAUACGGAGGGUGCGAGCGUUAAUCGGAAUUACUGGGCGUAAAGCGCGCGUAGGUGGCUUGAUAAGCCGGUUGUGAAAGCCCCGGGCUCAACCUGGGAACGGCAUCCGGAACUGUCAAGCUAGAGUGCAGGAGAGGAAGGUAGAAUUCCCGGUGUAGCGGUGAAAUGCGUAGAGAUCGGGAGGAAUACCAGUGGCGAAGGCGGCCUUCUGGACUGACACUGACACUGAGGUGCGAAAGCGUGGGUAGCAAACAGGAUUAGAUCCCGGGUAGUC